AUGCAAAUCUAACUUUCAGCAUACUAUUAAUUAAUAAAUGUUCUAAAUAAACAAAUUUUAGUUAUAUAUGAUAUAAAUUACCCAACAUACGCUUCUGGCUUCGGCCGAAGAUCCAUCGCCCUAGUUUGUUGAGUAGCCAUAAGCAUAUCUUUGGUCAAUCUCAGCUCACCCCUCAAUUCCCCAGGCGUUUCACUAGCUGAAUGUGAGCUAUGUAUGGAACUAACAAAUUCACUGUCUUCAUGGACAGUGGGCAAUAAACUUGGCCCACAAGAAACAGACAUCUCUCGACUGGAUCCUGAACUAGGACAUCCACCAGAAUCCGGGUUUUGGCAGGAUUGAACGUAUUGAAGAUACAUAUCGGAUCGAAGAAAGUUUGGAUAUGUAGUCUCAUUAAUGAGACGCUCAACUUCCAACUGUACAGCAUCAAAUACUUUUUCGUCCACCCGCCCUUCUUUAACCCGACGAUUAGCCUCCUUUCGUACAUCUUCAGGAUCAUCUUGUUCCUUGAGGCCCUCACAGGCGAACCAGAAAUUAAGAGGAUUUGCAUGAGGUCUGCCUUCUUGAUCCAGAUAUUUUCUGAACAAUUCCAAGCCCACUGGAUCCUGCAGCAAAGAAUGCAGGUUCCUGGCCCACCGCAAGCAAGCAGGUGGCGAAUCACUUUCCAUAGUUG
rnacentral:misc_RNA from 1 species